UGGGGAAUUUUGGACAAUGGGCGCAAGCCUGAUCCAGCCAUGCCGCGUGCGGGAAGAAGGCCUUCGGGUUGUAAACCGCUUUUGUCAGGGAAGAAAUCCUUUGGGCUAAUACCCCGGGGGGAUGACGGUACCUGAAGAAUAAGCACCGGCUAACUACGUGCCAGCAGCCGCGGUAAUACGUAGGGUGCAAGCGUUAAUCGGAAUUACUGGGCGUAAAGCGUGCGCAGGCGGUUAUAUAAGACAGAUGUGAAAUCCCCGGGCUCAACCUGGGAACUGCAUUUGUGACUGUAUAGCUAGAGUACGGUAGAGGGGGAUGGAAUUCCGCGUGUAGCAGUGAAAUGCGUAGAUAUGCGGAGGAACACCGAUGGCGAAGGCAAUCCCCUGGACCUGUACUGACGCUCAUGCACGAAAGCGUGGGGAGCAAACAGGAUUAGAUACCCUGGUAGUCCACGCCCUAAACGAUGUCAACUGGUUGUUGGGUCUUCACUGACUCAGUAACGAAGCUAACGCGUGAAGUUGACCGCCUGGGGAGUACGGCCGCAAGGUUG
rnacentral:rRNA from 1 species